CUCAGCUCGGCGUGUGCGCUUCUGCGAGGGACGGCUGGUCGCCAACAUGCGGGCAGCUCCCGCACCCCUUAGAAAUGUCCCGAGUGCGGCCGCCCGGGGCCUCCGGCCGCCCCGCCCCCACUCGCGCGCCUCGGAGCUGACGUCACCGGCGCUCACGCGGCCGAGCCGCCGCCCGAGGAGUCACGCGGCGGCGCUCCGCCGCCACCGCCCGAGGUGAUGCGCCCUCUGCAGAGAUCCCUCCGCGGCCGCCUGGAAUUUUCCAGGCGCUCUGCCGGCCCUUCUUUCGGGCUUAUGCGGGGCGGGGCGACCUAAGAAGACCCGGCGUUUGCUUUGGCCCCCUCGGGAAUGCGGCUCCAGCCCGCCAAACCCCCCCACCCCCCCACUGCCCGGUCUUUCAGGGUAGGGUGUCUUCCUCCGAAAAGAAAAAGGGGACUCUCCCCCGCGAAUCCCGAAUCCUCUUCCCAAAUAUGAUCUUGAAAUCUAUCUUCCGUGUCACGAGGCACUGCUAAAGGGGAGGCGGGGACAACUGAGGAAUCCAGGUGGUGGACGCCCCGGGAGACCGAGACCCGCUCCGAGUCGUCUCCCUGGGCAAGGUCAGGGAGGGACUUUUUUCCCCUCGCGUGGCGGUGGAGGAAUCGUCCCGUUGAGCCGUGCCCCGAGUGAUGCGGCCCGGGGCUAUAAAAGCAAAAGUUGUGGCCUGUCCAUCAGGAGUUAGCGACAGGGAGGGCCGCGGGCUUGGCUGUAGUUGUGGGGGAGGCCAGCUCAGGGCCUCAGGGGUCAGAUGGGGGAGAUGACAGGCUUAGAUGAGACUCGAGGGGGUUGGGGUAUGAGAAUAAGAAAGGUUAAAGAGGAAACGAGAUCUUGGGGAACCUGUGGUGGGGAGAGCUGCGUUGAAGGUCCCCGCAGUGACCCAGGGGAGGACAGCCCUUUAGCCCUGGCUGUCGCUUCCUUCUGGAGAACGGGAACUUGGCCUCUAGGAGGGCACCGCUCCUGCGUGGGCCGAGCGAGCCCCGUGCCCUGGUGUGUGUGGGAGGAGGAAAGAAGUUAGAAGCAGGAGGAGAACAGGAUCUCAACGCCCUUACUGGAGAGGAAGCGGAAUUGGGCAUUUGGCUCCCUGAGAAUGAUCAGGAAGGAAGGCAGUGGGGUGCAGGGCCCCAGGAGGGCUGGGAGGGCAGACCUCGAACUCGUCAAUGUCAGCAGCCCCCUUUUUUUUCAGAGGGUUGUGAACCCGCGUGGGGAUGAGGCCCGGUCUUGUGGAUACUGAACUUAGCUUCGCGGGCCUGACAGCUCUGGCCCAGGGUGGUAUGUAAUUUUGGUUCGGCCUGGGACAGGGUCCAGGCCAUGCCCAGCCUGGUGAACCCCAGGUCUGGGUGUGAGGUCAGACCCUUUGUCGGAGGUAAGGGUGGUCUCAGGAGUGAUUGAGGAGGUAGGGUGCCAUCAAAGCGGUUACUGGUGUGGCGCCUGACGCCUGACAGGCUGGGGCUGCUGAGGCAGGAUAUCUGUGUGUCUGGGGACAAAAUUGACCCAAGCUUUAUUUUCCAGGUGGCAGUGCUCCCCUUUGGACUUUUCCUCUAGGUUCCGUGCUAACAACUUCUGUGAGCUCACUCUGCCCUUCCUCCUCCCUUUAACUCUCUCGAGGUUAUCCAUUCGUUUAAAACAUUGCUUCUGGUAACCUGGUAAGCCUGGGAAAGUUGGCAACGGCCUUGAGGAGUUCGGUUAUGUCGGUAAUCGUGGAGGAGGAGAGGCACGCCCUGCUGAGACUCGGGGUGGGGUGGGGUGGUCUUGCUUGCCUGCGGAGAGGGUGGGGACUGAAUGUGUACCCUUGGGUGGGCCUGCAGCGAUGGCCCCAGCUGAAAGUUACGAAAUGCCUCAUGGACCAUGGUUUGUUACUAUAGUGUUCAUCGUGGUGAUCAGAUGGCACCAGGAGAAAUGGAGCCCAUGGCCAGUGUGAGUCGUAGCAGUGCAGGAGGGGAGACCCUGAAGGAGAGAGCCCGCCUAAGUUGAUGUCUGCAGAUUGAAUUUCCAGAGGCUUAGGAGGUGGAAGUUUCUCCAGUGUCCUGUUUCCAGGCCUUGCUCAGGAAGCCCUGUAUUCAGGAGGCCACCAUUUAAGGUUUUCAGAUGAGCUCAUGAGGGGGCAAUCAUUCAAAGUCCAAAGCAGAUGCAUCGGGCCAUCAGCAGAUCUGUUGCUUUGAAUGUUUGAUCCCGGAGCACCAACCCCCAGGCACCCCUCCUUUUCUGGGGCGGAGGUUUUCAGAUGCUGCGUCUUCUAAAUUGAGCCUUCGGUCUUUGCUAGUUCUGUGCUACGAACAUUGCUUCAAGAAGAUUCUUAAGCUGUAGGACGUUCUAACGUGCCACAACGCAGAGUCAUGCCUUGUAGAUGAAUCUUGCAGAUGGAGCCCAGUGACUCGUUCACCUACCCACGCGCCUGCCUGCCUGCACAUUGGUUGGAGGAAUUAGUGUGAUGGUCUAACCUGUGUCUGGGGAAAGUGUUCACAUUUGAAAUGCCUUGAGCAAAUACUUAAAUGAAGCCUACUGGCAAACUGAAGGGGGUGUGGGUGUGGGGGGGUCGUGUUAUGCUACAGUCCGGGGGUGGGUACAAGUUGGUUGUGGCCAAAUUCUGUUUGAAAUGGCAGGUCUUUGGGCAUUCUGAUUGCAUCACAGAUGACUAAGUGAGGGAAAUGGUUGGGGGACUACCAGUGAUCUUUGAUGCUUCUAUGUAUUUUUUAAUGUGGAUUUUGCUUGAUUUAAUUUGAAACUAAACUUCAAAUGGGAGGACCCAACUGAGGUGUGAGGGUUGGGGGGGCACACCUUGGCAUUGGUUCUGGCAGGGGUGACAGUUGGAGUGGUACACGUUGGCAUUGGUACUGGGAGGGGUGGGGGUGAGGAAAGGGAGAGGGUUGGGUUGAUACCGUAUAUGUUGCAGAGGGUAGGGGUGGUAGGGAAUGGGGGUUGGAAGGGAAUUCCGGCAAAAAGGGUAAAAUUCUGGGGAAGGUAAUCGACUCACGGGGAAGAAGAUACUAGUUAAUGCUACUAAAUUGUUAGUGCUAGUUACAUUGUGCUUAGAAAGCACAAAAGAUUGCUUCAAAACUUUAGAAAGAAGCUAAAAUUGUUUUGCCUUGCUGCAAGGUGGGAAAGAGGGAGGACAACUGAACCUGAGGACAAGUCCCAUGAAAGCUGGGUGGCAGGAGUCCCCGUCGGCAGAGUGCUCACUAGCCUUUGCUGCUCCUUGAGCUUUUUCAGUGGUUUAUAUGAAGGUGUGCGGGUGUUGGGGAGCUGUAAGUCUUAGAAAGGACUUUAAAUGUGCAAAUUGUGAGCUUUUAAAGUAUUGAAGUUUAAAAUUUUGGUGUGCACUUGAGAUUAGAUGUACUCUUUGGGGUUUGGAACAUUUCUGUUUACUGAGAUGUUGUGGUUGAAAAUUCUGAGCAAAGUGAACGUGCAAUUUUAUGUCUCAAACACAUCUCUUGCCUUUGUGGUCCAUAUUAAUAGCAGUAAAAAUUUUUGCUAUUAGUUUUUGUAACAGAAUAACCUUUUUAUGGUCACUGUAAAAUUACUGUGAUAUAUAGUAGCAAACAAUCCAUGUAGCCUUGCAAAGGUUGAGUGAAUCGAUUCUAAAUUUAGUUUGAACAUUUGUGCUUUUCAGAUUGAUCCAGUACUGGAGCAACUCUCAGCCAAAAUCAGUUUGGGGAACAGGCAAAAUGGUGGCGGGGGGAGCGGGGAGCCUUUACUCGACGUGGUCUGUUUUUAAAAAUUCAGGGAAAGACAAGAAAACCGUUUAUGAUUACGGGUUUCUGAGAUGCAUCCAGGGAGUUGGUAAAGUAAUACCAGUAGCUUUCUCCUGUGCCUCUAACCUUAGAUUUCACUAAACAUUUAAAAUCCCCAAUACCUUUUGCUUCUGGGAUUUUUGUCUUAUGGGUUCUUUUUUAAUGUUUAAAAAUAUGUUGGUAUCGUUCAGCUUUUCAUCAUGACUUGGGUAUGAUGUAAUUCCUGUCCUCAGAAUUUAUUAGUCAUGCGCAUAUGGGGAAAUGUGUUUGUGUAUGCUGUUGUGAAAUGGAAGCUGUUACACUGGGUGGUUAAAGUACUUCUGUGUUGCUCUGUGCUGAGAACUAGUCUUCUGUUGCAUCGUGUACAUGAUUACUAAUCGUUUUCUUUACAGCACAAAUAAAGGUUUGAGUUCUAAAACUCUUUAAUUUGUAUUGCUAUCUUAUGUUUUUCGACCUUUAUCUUUUCUGUAAACAAGUUAUCUUGAUAAUGAAGUUGGAUGUAUCAUCUUCUUAGAGAUUGAGGCCUAGAUUUGCUGUUCAGUAGCUUUAAAUAAUUGAGGUCACUUAGUGGAGUGUGUAGUAACUUCAAAUAAAACGUGUCCUCAAUGGUCUGCAGCCUGGUGGACAGGAAUGGGGACUCAGCUCACCGUAGGGAGUGUCUAAUGGUCGUGCAAACUGAUGCUGAACCACCCAGCCGGUGAAGGUCAGUGUCAAGGUCCUGGGCGAGUACUUUAAUAUCCUGGAACUUUAACUGGUUAGAUUUCCAAAUGGUAUCGUUGGAAAGGGGACCUAUCAUUCAUUCCCUUUGCUGAAGGGAGACCGUCUGAAGAAUACAGCAGACACGUGUUCUGUGUUUUCUGUACUUGUGGUUUGGGGGAGCUGGAAUGUAUUUUGGACUCGAAUCUAAACACAAUUCUCAUCUUUAGUACCAAAGACUUUGGUUUGGCUUUAUUGGUAAGUGACAUGAGUUUGGGCUCGAUUGUGCACCUGCUCUGCGGAGCAGGCCAAGGUUAAACAGAGUGUGAACAGAAGCUCUUGGAAUCCAUAGUUUGUCUCAUGUGUCUAAAUUGACUGUCCUGGGUGGGGAAGUGGCAGGAGGCUCAUCCUGGGAGCAAAGUCCUCACACUGCUGUUGUGUAUUUACUCUUGGGCCCAAAGGUUUUGCCUCGCAGGAGGCAAAACUUUGGGCUCAGGAUAGAAACCCUUGCCAACCUCCGUUAAGGCUUUAGUUUGCAAGGGAGCCGAAAGGGAAGUUUACCUUGGAAGGGGAGAGGAGAUGGGACAGGCUAGGUCUGUGACCAAAACAAAGGGGUGGGAGAGCGUGGCCUAAAGAAUUCCUCCAAGAGCAGGCAUGGGACUGGCUAUUGUCCUCCCUCCUUGUGUCUAGAUGGCCUGCGUCUAGGGUCCUGGUAAACCCUCAUGUGUCUGCUACUGAGAAACUGGAGAUGGGUGCUGGGGAGGAGGAAGUGGCCGGGCAGGGGUGGGGGGUGGGGGACAGGCUAAAGGCUCUGCUGAGAGUGGGCACGGCUGUGUGCAAGUUUCAGGAUCCUUUCCCUGCUCACCACUCUGAUCCUUCAUCCCUGUAGAACAAUCUAGGUCUCCUUUCCUAUCUUACCCCUUCCCUUCUCUUUGCUUUUUACCCCAGGCCUCCUCCAGCUGCCCUGCCCUCUUUUCAGAACUAGUUUCUUCUUGUUUUUUAUAUGCUGACUACAAAACCCUUGCUUCCAACCUCGAAGGUAACUGCUAUAAAUGUUUUUCUAAAUGGCAGUGUUUCCUAGCAACUAUGUUGGCUGAUAAAGGAUUUCCAUAAGGGUGUGAUUGGCACCCAGUGGUCGGUAUUGGCAGACAGCAGGCAGCUGAAGCUCAGGCCUCCUAGCCUCCACCCAAUCCAGGGGCUCCUGAGAUGGUCUGUGAAAAAGGAGCUUUCUACCUGUUCUUCACCCACAAUUACUCUCCCAUCAAGUGAAUGGGCUGCAGGUGUGAAUGACCGUGUGGAUGAUUUUGCUAAUCAUUUUGCCUUCUAGUGCAUAGAUCUGAACUCGGCCUUCUCUCUGAACUCGCACAGGCAGUGGAUGACACAAUGAAAUUCAUUAAGUAGAAAAUGGUGAUCUGGUGCAAGAUCAAAGUAAUGGGGGCAUAAGGAUAGCAAAAGUUGCGUUUGGAAGUUCAUUUAAAAAGGAAAGUAGCCUAAGAGUAAGUAUGGGUUGAGGCCUCUCUGUGCCCAGGUUGGGCAUAGUCAGAACUGCCUAAGUGGCUCUCCUUACAAAAGGGAUCAGACGCUAACCACCACCUCUUCCACUCUGUCGGCUGCCCUUGGUUUGUCUUCCUGACCUUGGACAUUAAGGGACUUGUAGGACCUCUUAUGCCGCUCUGUGUGGCUGAGUGUCUGGAGGAAAUGUUAACCUCUGGUCGGCUUUCUAUUGUGUGGUGCUGAUAUUAAAUGAAAUGCAAACAGGCUUACAGAUACUUGUAUGUUUUAAAGUGUUCGUAUUUAACACAGACUGCACCCCUGCAGUCUGGAAGUGGGCAGAGGAAGGUAGCAAAAUAACAAAAAAUAAAAAAGAUGCAAAGGUGUAUGUCCCUGGGGGUGUGGCCUUGACCUUGCUCUUGUGGGUGUCCUCUCCACCACCUUCUGGCCUGCCGGGUAAGGACACUGUCUGCUCUCUGCUGCAGGCCCCUCAGCUCUGUGCCGCCUUCCCUCUCUUUUAAAUACCUCUUAACUGGGUUCUCACGUAUAAAAAAGUUUUAUCAUGAGGCUUACAAAUAAGACAGAAAAACCAAAAUCCUCAGUAAUUUUCUGUUAUUGGUAUGUUUGCUUCUAGAGUGUUUUUUUCUUCCUAUGCAUAAGAUAUGAUUUUUUUGUUACAAAAAUGGGAUUAUGCUGUAAAUUGCUUUGCAACUCCUUUCACUUAAUAUAUAGUGAACAUCUUUUCCUGUCAUUUAAAGCAUCUUUUGUGGUGAUGUAAUCCAUCAUAUGGCUAUAUCAAUUUAAACAAUCUAAGUUAGAUGAUCUUAUUUUCCAGGUGUUUUUUUUUUUCUCUUAGGAGGUACAGCUAUGAUGACCUUCCCUGUAGCUCACACUUGAUCACAUCUGAUAGUCUUUCUUUGGGGUAUAUGAAUAUAUGAAAUGCCUACGUCAAACUUAAGACUUUAGGUUCAUUUAUAGUGCUAAAUAGCCCUCCCAGAGGGACAUUCUAAAUUAAUGUUCUCAUAAUUGAGGUAAACCUGGCUUUGUCUUUCCUCUUCUACAGUAUUCCAAGGUAUUACUAUAUUAAAAACCUUAGAUAUUUACCGCUACUGAGACAGAAUAUCUGUGGAUUGGCCAUUUGCAGUGGUGUGUGUGUGGGGGGGGGGGGGUUACUUGGGCUUACUAAUGGCUCGUUUUCCUAUUGGUUGUUUUGUAGAAACACAUAUUAAGGAUAUUAACAAUCUAUGUUCAACGUGAAUACUUCUCCCGGUUUUUAGAUUACCUUUUCAUUUUGCGUAUUGUGUUCCAGACAUACGAAAGAGUGGCACCGUUUUUCUGAGGUCCUUUUGCUGUAGUUUCUGCACUUGGUGUUCUGCUUAGAUCUCUCCCACCCCAAAAGUAUAUAAAUAUUAAUCUGGAUUUUCUUGUGACACUUAUGGCUUAAUUUUUUACGCUUAAACAUAUACCACAACUGGAGUUUAUUGUGCAGCCAGUGGGGGGUAGGGGCUGAUGUCCUCUCAGAGCCCCCCCAGAGCUUGCUCCCCUCCUGGUGUCCCCCGCCCUGUGGCUACAUGAUUGAGUGGAAGAGUCGCAGCUGUCACAAUAGGACAGUUCACUGGAGAAGACCUUGGGGACAGGCAGGUAUUGUCUUCUAGUGGGGGCCUCCAUGAUGGAGGUUGCAUUACCGCAUCUUAACUGUUUUGGACCUAUGGCAACGCCAGCCCCGGGGGCAGGUGUCCAAAGCAGGUGCCGAAGGAUGGAUCUGGGUUUUCCCGACCUGGCCACUUGGAAGCUUUAUGCACUAGAGAAAGUCACUGGACCCCACCCGCCGAGCCUGUUUCCCUCCUCUGUGAAAUGGCGCCAGGUGAACGUGUGUCCUGGGCACACGGCUACUCUUCAUCGAGCGUUUGCAGUGCCACCUUCCUCUCAUUACCCAGCCUCCUGUCCAACCGCUACCUCCUGGUUCCCCCUCCCUGCCCGCCUUGCUCUGAGCCUUUGAUGACAAUCAGUGUGCAUAUUCUGGUCUGCUCUGGUUUUGCAUUUCUGUUUUCAUUUGCAUUUCCCUGUAUCAGUGGAGUUCACAAACACAUUGGACGUGGCUUUUUCUCAGGGUUGUUAAUUCUUCCGUAAGAAUGCUAUGGAUGGGCUUCUAGAGGUCUGUGAGUGCUCAGAAACGGUGUGUAUUUUAUAUAUAUACACAUAUAUAUAUUGUGUGUGUGUGAAAAGCAUAAGCUUGCCGAAGAGGCCCGUCACCUCAAAAAAAGAUCAAAUGAAAAACUGCAUUAUUGUAUCCCGUGGUGCUUAUACUAUAGGAUGUUUACUCCGUCUCCUAAGUAGUAAGCAGUGUCUUGACUAUUUUAGAUUGUGCCUGCUGUGAGCAUCUCUGUGAAUGUGGUGCGUGUGUGGCGUUGCCUGCUCAGUGAGUGUGCACAGUUUCACAGACUCAGAUACUCUCCGGAAAGCUUACACUUCCUCUUGUGAGUAUAUCCAUUUCCCUGCGUAGUUGGUGACAUCAGAUAUUUUCAGUUUUUCUUAUUACAACUUUUUUUUUUGUUGUGGUAAAAUGCACACAACAUAAAAUUUAUCAUCUUAAUCAUUUUUAAGUGUACAUUUCAGUAGCGUGAUAUAUUGUCGUGCAACCAAUCUCCAGGGCGUUUUCAUCUGGCAAAACUGAAACUCUGUACCUGCUAAACUCCCCAUUCCCUUCUCCCUCCCUCCCCUGGCAACCACCCUUCUCUGUUUCUGGGAGUUUGACCUUUCUAGGUACCUCAUGUUAAACAGAAUCAUACGGUACUUGCCUUUGGUGACUGGCUUAUUUUACUUGGCGUAACAUCCUCAAGGUUCAUCUGUGUUAUAUGUGUCAAAAUUCUCUUCCUUUUUAGAAGAGCUGAAACGGGCACCUGGUUGGCUCAGUCAUUGGAGUGUGCAACUUUUGAUCUGAGGUCUGUGAGCUUGAGCCCCAUGUUGGGUGUGGAGUUUACUUUAAAAAAAAUAAAAGAGCCGGAACGUUCCAUCAGAUGUAUGUAACACAUUUUGUCUACCACUUGUCAAUUAAUACCUGGGUCGCAUCCACCUUUUGGUUGUUGUGAACGAUGCUGCUGGGAACAUGGGUGUGCAAAUACCUUUUGAAACCCUGCUUUUAUUUCUUUUGGAGGUACACCCAGAAGUGGGAUUGCUGGAUCAUAUGGUAAUUCUACUUUUAAUUUUUUGAAGAACCUCCAUACUGUUUUCCACAGUGGUUGCACCAGUUUGCAUUCCCACCAGUCUGCAAGAAUCCCAGUUUUCCACAUGGUCCCCAGUACUUGCUAUUUUCUGUUGUUUUAUAUAGCAGCCAUCCUAUUGGGUGUGAGGUGAUGCUUCGUUGUGGUUUUGAUUUGCAUUUGCCUAAUACUUAGUAAUGUUGAGCAUCUUUUCAUAAGAUUCUUGGCCAUUUGAAUGUCUUGUUUGGAGAAACAUCUUUUCAAGUCCUUUGCCCAUUGUAAAAUCUGGGUCAUUUUUUAUUGUUACUGACUUGUAGUUCUUAAAAAUAUUUUGAAUAAUAACCCUUUAUCAGAUAGAUGACUUAGAAAUAUUUUCUCCCAUUGUGGUGGGCUGCCUUUUCAGUCUGUUGAUUGCGUCCUUUGAUGCCCAGGAGUUUUUAGUUCUCAUGCAGUCCAGCGUAGCGUAUCUAUUUUUUACCUUCGUUACCUGCGCUUUUGGUGCCAUGUCCGAGAAGUCAUUGCCAAGUCCAGUGUCAUGAAGUAUUUAUUGCUACUAUUAAAAGCGCUUUGGUAGUCUUAAUCCAUGUUUUUGAACUUACUGGUUAGUCCGUUUUACCAUUUGGUUUACCAUCUGCCUUUUACCUCUUUGCCCGCUCACUGUAUGAAAUUCCUUACUGAGUUCUAUAAUGGUCGUACGUUCUUUGUUCCGUUCAGGAGGUAAGCGUUUGCCACUUACGAGUGUCAAACGUCCUCCUUUUUUCCCCUUUUGUUGUUGGUACAGAAAGUAUCUAUCACACAAGGACUUUGAAAACAUCCAUCUACCAAGUCUAAUAAUAAUUAGUAAGUCUGUUCGUUUUGCUUCUGAUUACGUUUUCUUUAGUAGCUAAAUGUCUGUGUACUCUUACAGUUUCCUGAGUACUCUUCACCGUUUAAGGAGUUUUGAAUCCAAUUUAGGGGUGAAUCUAAAUUGACGAAUUAUACUCAUAAAGUGGAAAUGUCAAACUUUUACUGAAUGAAUUCUACUUUGCUUUGCUCUAGGUCAGUAUUAGUGUCUUGCAAUUAAUUAUCUGCCUGAAUCUGUUUCUGGAAUUUUUAGCCGCUAGUUUCUGUUGUUUCUAGUCAAAUACAGCAAAUUUUAAUGACCAUCACUGUUACUAUGUUUGAAAACCUAGUAUGUGGAGGCUAUGCUGCUCCUUUUAAGGCAAGAGUAUUCUCUCCUUGUUGGAACUUGAGUACACAGAACUGGGUUAAUCUUUGGUUUGUGACAUGACAUGGCUCUCUUUUAUUUGCUUCCUUGGUGUUUUUAAUAAUGUGGUAAGCAUUUCUGAGACUUGUGUUCAGUGUAAAACCUAGGACGUUAGACAGUAGCUUUUUCUACCUGGGUGGUCAUCUUCUCCCCCUGCCCCCAUCUCUAGGCCAACGUAAUCGCCAUCCCAAAUACUGGAUUUAUCUUUACUUGCUUUCUUUUCAUAUAACUUAAAAAAAAAAAAAAAAAUCCACCUAAGUGUGUUUGUUAAGGAAGCUCCAGGCAUUCACAGCCCCUCCAGGACAGCACAGCACAGCAGCUGUGCCAUCUGGGAUUCUCCAUCUUGUCAGGUGGGUUGAGAGUUUCUGCUGCCAAAGUAGAGUAAUGUGCUAUGGAAUUGAGUUAAAACUGAUCGGUCUCUACAACUGCUUGUCGGUACCAGAAUUGAGCAUCAGAUAGUGUCUGACUUGUUUAGACCUAGCAAGACGCUGAGUCUACUUCUGGCGUUCUUUCUCCUAAGCAGGCUGAAAAACAAACUAUUCUAGGACAGCAGUUGUGACAUCCGCCAAAAGUGGCUUUUAAUUAUAUCUUCUGUGUUUGGUCUGUCGAAAUCGUCUUACCUGGCAUCUGUCUGUCAGCAUCUCUAAUCCCAAGUGGAAAAGCAUCCGGGUGGGGCACAGUCUGCUCCCUCUGCUGCCUGCCUGCUGCACCCAGCCUUAGCUGGUUCCUCCUUUAAGUACGCGCUUCCCCUCAGAGGCCCCCCGAGGGCCAGGAGCACAGGUGUGAGCCCUGCUCUGUCUCUUACUCGACUAAUAGGGUCAUGGGGAGCUUCACACCGGGAACCACAAGGCGCAGAUCUAUCCCCGGCAGCCUUAUUCUUGCCCCCUUCGCUUCUGGGGUAAGUGGUAGCUGUCCCCUUGACUCCUCUGUCGAUGUAACAGCUGUGGGACCAGCUGUCUGUGUGUCAGAGCGAGGCCCUGCCUCUGCCUCCUGCUGACCCCAAGGGCAGAGGCUCUGCCAGUUUUCUUCCAGUUUGUUUCAAGAUAUAAAAAAUGUUCAGAGUGAUAUGUGCACAUAUAAAAAACUCAAACCCUGUAAAGGGGAUGUAGUGACAUCCUUCUCUAACCCCAGCCUCCCUUCCCACAGAGGCAGCAGUUGUGGCCAGUUGCUUGAAUUUCUUUCUGGAUAAUCCUGUGUACCUAUUUCACUACAGAGGCCCCGGCACACCACAUCCAGUCUCGCACUUUGGACUGUUCCGUUAACGGUACACCUAGGAGCUCACCGCUUAUCUUUUUUGGCCUACCUUGGGCUUUUUGAAACACAUCUGUGUCGUGGUCAGUGUUUAAAUGUACCCAUUUUCCCUUGUGAGGAGCAAUUAGAUUGUUUCUAGCAAUUUUUACUGUGUAUAAGGCUAUACUGAGUAUCUGCCUAUGUGGUUGUUUGUGUAUAUGGGCACCUGUGCCUUUGGGGGAAGGUUUCUGGGUCAUGGUCUGUGUGUCUUUCUGAAUAUGAUGGGUACUGCCAGCCCAUGCUCGCUGUAGUUCCGUUCUUCCGCUUCACAUUUUCCCGCGCUUCACCAACACUGUUCUUAAACUUGGUUACUUGUCAAUGUGAGAAGUAAAAACAGCAUUUCAUUGUAGUUUUGAGUUCUAUUUCUAUUGGGCUGUGUACUUACAGAUUUUCAAGAGCUUUUUAUAUAUUGAAGAAAUUAACCCUUUGUCACUGAUGCGGCAAAUACUCGCCUGUUUGUCGUUGAUCUGGCUUUUGUGUUUCAUGCUAGAAUGUUGCUGUUCAGAGUUUUAAAUAUACUUAUGUAUCAAUGUUUUCUUUUAGGGCUUCUGGGUUUUAUGACUCAGGUUGUGAAGUGCCCCCCCAAGCCCCCGCCCCAUUCCAGACGCAGUGGUUCCCUGCAGCCCGGCCUUGGCCGUUUGGGGUUUUAUCUUUGCUGAGUAGAAGGUAAACUUCAGUGUCGCCGUGGUUCGGUUUCCACUUUGUGAUUCUGUAAAGCUGAGUGAACACUUUGUUGGCCGACGUGUGUGACUGCUUGUGCCUCAGUUAUGUUUUCAUCUCCUGAGAACUCUUCACUGGAGGACGUUUACCCUCGAAUGAUUACAAAACAUUGUUUAAGUUUGUAGUUUGCCCUUUUUUUCUUUUUUUUAAGUUGACGCGCGAUGCUGCCGCGUUGCUUUCAAGUUGUAAUUUGCCUUUUAAAUUUACUUGUUGCAUCUUGCCAGUGGUUUUAAGUUUUGUUGUCAAGUCUGUUAUUUUGAUCGUGGUUUCAUACUUUGAUGUUCUGCUGUAUUUCCCACUGGCUUCCUUGUGCUUUCAUUUUUGACAUUUGACAUAACUCUUUAAUCCGUCUAGAAGUCGUGUUGGUGUUUGUACAGAGUGAGGUAAGAAUCCAAUUAAUUCAAGAUGGCUGAUUUCCCCAGCGCCGCUUCCUGGAUGAUGCCUUCUCUGCUGAUCUGAAACUUGUUAGUUAUGUACUGAGUACCUUUAAUGUAAUUGAGUAUGUUUCUGAACUUUCUAGUUUGUUCCGCCGAUCUAUCUUUCCUCCGCCAGUCCAGUGUUUUCAUUAUAUUAGCUUUAUCACAUCUGAUUGUAAAACGUGGUAAUAUAAGCCCCUGGCAUUCUUUUUUAAGGUACUCUGAUUUUUACUGGAAUUGCAUUAUGUUUAUUGAUAUGUUAUGACGUUGAGACUUUCCAUGUAGGAACAGGCCCCCCCUGUUCGUUUAGGAUUGGAUGAUUUUCGUGUCCUCAGAAAUUUUAGCCCUCUCUUAGGCAAGUUAUGGACAUCUAUGAAGUUUGCUCCUAGAUAUGUUAUAUUCUGUGUUGUGGUUAGAUAUAUUUUUCCAUUAAAAUUCCUGGUUGUGGUAGUAUAUGAUAAGACUUGUUUUAUAGGUAUACAUUAUUUCAGACAUAAAUAGGCUGAUUAUUAAGGCCAAUUGGAAGACAAUAUAGCAUCCAGGCUAAAAGGGCUUUUGAGUCAGAUGACUCUGCUCUCAUGCUUGACUUGCCCCUUAUUUAUUUUCUGUGCCACGAGCUCUCUGCCUCAGUUUCUCCAUUUGUAAGAAGGGAUAAUCAUAUUAUCUACCAAGAAGCGGGAUGAGGGUUUAAUGAAAUAAAGAGGCAUUGUGCUCAGUGCUCUGCUGACACGGAGUGAGCACUGUUCUACUGGAGUUUAAGAGUAAGAGUCAUCUUUAAUGGUUCUGUCAUCCAUGUGAUUCAUUCCGUUUUUCAUGCUUCUCUCCUGUCUUGCUGGCAUUGGCUAUAAUCACUAAUGAGCUGUGAACAUCGUGGUCUUGUUCCCACCCAAUCCGCUGGUGGGAUCUGUCGGCGGAUAGAGAGGGGUCAGGCUGGCCCUGGCAGGUGUGCACAAGCCCCAGCAGCACACAUCAGGCUGCCCAUUGGUUGUCAUCCUGACGGUCCUCAGCUGGAGUGAUCUGCUGACAGACCUCUUCAAAUUUUAAUAUUCACGUAUUUGUUUUAUCAUGUAUUUGAAAAUUGCUGGUUUUCUAUUUAUGGUGGUAAUACAACAUUUCCUUUUAAGAGCAAAUGUUCUCUUUUUAGUUGAAAUGUCCCCCCACAUACUGUAAGAUUCAUACUGUCAACGUGUACAAUUCAGUGGGUUUUAGUAUGUUCACCAUGUUUUGCCAACCAUCACUAUCAUCCCAUUUCCAGGACUUUUUCAUUUUCCCAAACAGAAGCCUGAUCCCCAUAAAACAGUAACUUCCCAUCCCUCUCUCCCUCCCUCCUCCCGGUUCCCCCCACCCCGCUUUUUUCCCUGCAUUUUCAUUAUUGUAACUGAUCAAAGUCUGUUUGCAGUAGAUGUGAAUGUGAGUUAAGUACAUGUGACAUUGAUUUGGCAGAGGCAACCUAGUGAUUGGCAAGAACACAGCACGAGCAGCUUCUGCAGGUUGGUGUUCCUCCUCCUGGUUCCUGAUAACCUUUACUAUACUUUCUAUUUGCCUAUUCUAGGUUCCUCCUACGAAGGGAAUCAUACAUUUGUCCUGUUGUGUCCGUCCUACUUCAGUUAGCACAGUGUUUGCAAAUUUCAUUCACGUUGCAGCGUGUAACAAUACUUGAUUCCUUUGUGAGGCCGAAUACGCCCUUGGUGUGUCUACACCACAUUUUGUUUAUCCAGUCAUUUGUUGGACAUUUGGGUUGUUUCCACUCAUUUGGCUAUUAUGAAGAAUACCUCUAUGCACUUUUUAUUGAAUUUGUUUUAAAUUGUCAUUGGUGUGUGCCUCAGAGUGGAAGUGCUGGGUCAGAUAACUCUGUGCUUAACUUUUUGAGGAUCCGCAAAACUGUCUCCCAGUGUAGCUGCACCAUUUUACAUUCUCGCCAUUAAUUGAUGAGGUUUCUGAUUUCUCCACACCCUCAACCCUUGUUCUUAUUUGGCUGUGUGUGUGUGUGUGUGUGUGUGUGUGUGUGUGUGUGGUUUUUAUAUAAGCUCUAUGCCCAGUGUAGGAUUUGAACUCCCAACCCGGGGUCGCAUGCUCAUCCACCCAAGCCAGCCAGGCACCCCUCUGGCUUUUUGAUCAUAGCCAUCCUAAUGGGUGUGACGUGGUAUCUCCUGUGAUUUUGAUUUGCACUUCUCUCAUGACUAACUGUGUCUAGCACCUUUCCAUAUGCUUGUUGGCCAUGUGUAGAUCUUCUCUAGAGAACUGUCUAUACUGAUCUUUUGUCCCCUUUUUAAUUGAGUGUUUAUCUUUUCAUUAUUGAAUUUUAAGAGUUCUUUGUGUAUUCUGGAUACUAGAGCCUUAUCAUGUUUUUCCCUUCUGGGGGUCGUGUUUCCACUUUCUUGGUAGUGUUCUUUGACAUAAAAUAAAUUUAUAUGUCGAAAGUAACUUGAUUUAAGGGAAAAAAAAAAACUAGGACUGGUUAUACGGCAAAAAAUGUCCAGGUGUCAUGUGAAUGAUUAAGGUUUGGGGGCAGAGAAAAGAGUGUUCCGAUCCUGUAGCGUGAAGUGGGUGAGCACUCCUUCCUGUGCGACGUCAGCAGGUUCCACCUGGUGCGUGUGCCGGGGUCAUCUCGUUGGAGUGCUUGGAAGGUUUGGUUUUGUUUUUUGUGUCCAGUAAUAGAUAAUGGAUUUAUUCAGAUGUCUUUUCUGCAUUCCCCAACCCGCCCCCCCCCCUCCCGCCGCUGCCCCCCCCAAGCAUCGAGUUUUUCUCCUUUCAUUCUCUCAUGAUUAAUUACAUCACGGAAUAUCAUGGCGUCCUGUGAUUUCUGAAACACACCGGUCCCAAGCCUGGAGCUCUAUUCCGCCAACACAGAAAUGAAUCAGAAGGUCCACUUCAGCUUCAGGGAGUUGUCAGGCAGGCUUCCGUAUCAGGACCUCAGGAAAGGCAGAGACGCUUUUAAGAGCAGCAGCAAAGAGCAGACCUCUGAGCUGGACAACUGACUUUCUGUUCCCUGCUUUGCCACUUAGCACGUGACGUUGGCCACAUUUCUAAAAUCCUUGAAGCCGGUUCCCUUAAUAAAAUGGGGACAAAAAUAAAGUCAGAACAUAACUCGUGGUUUGCGUGAGGCUGAGAUGAGGGGUCACACGGCACAGGUGCUGGGAGUGAGGGGCCCUGCUGUUUCCGGUCCCUGUCAGCCUCCCCACUUUGCACAGUUGACUGGACACAGAGUGUUGGCUAACGCCGCCUGGGCUGCCACUUCCUUUUGGAGAUUCCAAGUUCUUUGUGAACUUCCAGUGUCUUCCUGAGUUAUAGGCUAGUCCGUAUUUCUAUUUCAUUGUAAGUCAAUUUGUUUGAAUUAAGUUUUCUAAGAAAAUCGCCUUUUUAAAUUAGUGUAGAGUUUUGUUUUGUUUUUUUUUGCAUUUUAAUAUCCUUGUCAAUGGUUUUUGGGGGUGGAAGGAAAAAAAAUAGUUUUCACUUUUUAUUCCUAGUUUAUCUUUGACAGACUUUCGAGAAAUCUAUUUUACUGGUUUUUUCAAAGAAACAGCUUUAGAUAGAAUACCCAGUUCUGCUUUCAUGUUGUAAUUUAUUAAUUUCUGCUUUUACUUCAUUAAUUCUUGUGCUCUCCUUGGAUGUUGUUUGUCCCUCUUUUUCCAGUCUUGCUUUACAUGCUUAGUGCGGAAGGAGGGGGAGGCAGAGCGCGGUCAGGGAGGCUGUGGCAGGAGGCGGUCCUGCUCUAGCCCCACUGUGACCAUGGACAGAGCCCCCCAACGCUGACGCGUGGACCCUCCGUAAGGGAGGCAACUGCUGCCCCCUCCCCGCCCCUGCCACCCCCGCCGCCAGAGGAUGCAUGGAGGCCAGUUAGUGGCCAGGGCCCAGCGGGAGCAUGGGGGGUGUUCUACAGGGGGGAACGGCCAACUGCUGUUGCUUUGGUCCACAGUUCGGUUUCUAACGAUCACUCCAACCAACAGUCUCCUCGGUGUCCAGAUACUCAGCUGGUCUCCACAGACACAGGCAGGUGAGAUGAAUGGCCUUGCCUUCCCGUGGUGCCCCCGUUCUCCCAGGGGACCGGUCUCCGAUGGUGACUAGAUAGAUGGUGAGUUAACACAGUGUGGCAACAGCCACCGGGGAUGGAGUGCAGCCUGAGGGUGAAGACAGAGCCCUAACCCAGGGGAGACCUUUGAGCUGUCACUUGACAGGUAGGUGAGGCUGUAUGGAAGAGCAUUCCUGGCUGAGAAAAGGGCGCGAGCAAAGCCUCUGAGCUGUGAAGGAAAGUGGCUGGAGCUAGGAGUGCAGGUGGGGCUGGCCGGGCCACAGUGGGGACUCAGGAGGCGCCCCAUCGUGCAACUGAAGGCUCCCCGUCUGUAUUUGGGAAAAGAGUUUAUUGUCCUCAUUUCCUAUUUGCUUUUUGGUUUUAGUUCUGAUGUAUCGUUUGAACAUAGUUAUGUAAAGAGUACGCUUUAAAUUUUCCGAGGUUUUGGAAGGGUUGUGUUUUGUUUUUUUUAACUAUUAUAAUCAAUUUCUAUUUUAAUGAAUGGUUACCUCAGGAAGUGCCCAGUACAAUUUCUGCCUUUUUGGAUCUGUGGCUCCCUUUCUUCACUGCUCAAGGUAUGAUUAUUUUUAUCAAUGCUCCAUGGCGUUUGAGAAAGUAUUCUUUGUCACAUUCCAUAUGUUGGGUCCGUCCCUCUCGACGGUUUGGGGUCCAGUCCAAAGCCACGACGUCCCUAUGUAAUGCGAAGUGUGAUUCCAUUUUCCCCACCCCUCGUGGUUCUCUCACUGCCCCCAAGACUGCUCACCAGUUUUGUUCUGUGUGUUUCGCUGCAGUGUAUUUGGUGCGUGGAGUCCGGCCCUGCCGCGUGGAGUGCCGGGUGCUGACCGGGCAGACGGGAGCCCACCCCCUCCCCACCCCCACCUCACUGUCUCCUCCUUUGCGGGUUGAAUGAAGUACCUGUGUGUUGGAAUUUUCAACUGUUGAACCUUGAAACCAUUUUUCCAUCUCUCGUCUGUUUCCUGCCCGUGUCGUGCCUUCGUUGUACAUAUAGUUGUGAUCGGCAGCCAUUUUGCUUCUUCCACUUCAGGUUACCUUGUAGACACAGUGACUCGUGUUGAAAUAAUCCACCUGUUCUAGCCGAGGCUCUCUGGGGUGUUGCAGGCUGUGAGCCUGCCACUGUCACCUCGUGGGCUUCUGCGUGGGCUGGUUCCAGCAUUUUGUCAUCCUGAAUUACACGGGCACAGGCGUCUUUGGGCAAAUCCUCUUUUAUACCUCCAGGCUGCUCUUGGUUGUCCCCCUGGCCGGAGGCAAGGGGCGGGAAUUGCUUGCUUCUCUUCGCUCACUGCCCUGGGUGCAGAUGUUUGGAAAGGGCCGGUUAUGCACUCCUGUUUUGCCCGCUGCCUUGCCAACACAAUUUUUUCUGUUUUUGACUGUGAGUGUGGAGUGCUUCCUUGAAGCCAUUUUAUUUUAUUUAUUUAUUUAUUUUUCCCUUGAAGCCAUUUUAAUUUUCACUGGGGACACGUUUCCCUGUGUAGGUCACUCUCUGAGUUUCCUUAAGCAGACACCUUGAGGGUCUUGUCACUAACAUGUUGAAUUAAUUCUUUGCUCAUCUUACAGACUGUGUUUUGACUACCCCCCCAUUUCUAAGGCCUUUUAAGGUCAGAGCUUUGUUCCUCCGUCAGGUUGGGACUUAGAUGGCUAUGCACGGUUCCUCUUUCCUGCUGCAGUAAGUAAGUGCCUGCCUUUUGUGGUGUGUUUGGGGGCUGAAGCCUGGAGAGAGGCCAGGAGGGGCGAUGGGCAAGCGAGGAGGUGGGGGAGAGGUGAGGGAGCUGGGUGAGGGGGAUGGGAACCUGGCUCUGAGCUCACCCAGUGGUCCCCAGACCUUGGUGUGUGUGUGUGUGUGUGUGUGUGUGUGUGUGUGUGUGUGUGAGAGAGAGAGAGAGAGAGAGAGAGAGAGACGAGACUGGCUGUGCUUGCAGAGCAUCCGUCAGGACUAGUAGAGAGGACCCGUUGUCAGCCUGGCCUGGUGUGACCCUGAACAGGUCUCAGUCCUCUCUGAGCCUCACCUUCUCCUCUGGACUCCGCUGGAGAAGGGCUACUGGGCUCCUCCGGGCUGGCGGGAGGGGUCCAGGAGUCCUCCCCUCGUGAGAGGCCAGGACGGGACUCCUGGAUGAGGACCGCAGAGCUUGGGGGUGCUCCCACUGGACCCGCCGUGGGCCCACAGGAGGCAGAGCCCAGCCUGGGAGCAGCAGGUGCUUGGGGCCCAGAUGGGGAGGGUGGCCCAGGGCAGGUGAACUGGCCCAGGGUCCAGGGUAGGCUUCCUGUUCCUCCUGUCUCUGGGGCCCUGGUGACUCAGACCAUCCUCUCGGGGAACUCAGACACGGGGCCAGAGGCUGGUGGGGACACUGUGCUUCUGACUUCGUUUUCAAGCAGUGGCAGCUUCACAGGAAGGACCCCACAGCCGGCACUGGUGGAGAGAGCGAGGACGGAAGGCCAGGCAGCCCUACUGCAGAGAGGUGGCCUCUCCCAUUUCUUAGAAUCAUUUGGAAAUUUCCAUCUACAUACAAAGACGUUGCCCUACAGUGAGCAGGACCAUAACUUGUGGUUCAGUUUUCCGUCGGACUUUGUGAGCUCCUGCAGUUGGGAUGUGCAUCCAGCACAACAGGAAACAUGUGGCCACGCGGCCAAGGGGACACGCGUCCCCCUGGCUGCACCUUUGACAGGGCUGUCAGGGCAGCGAGGGGGAACCUGGGAGGGAGGGGGGCCUGGAGCCGCCGCAGGUGUUUCUUUUACUGGACGCGGCCCAUGGCCGCGUUCAGGUUUUGCUUUUCACCUUUGAGUCUGUGAGAAAACAAGCAGGAAAAAGCAAAA